CGUACGUAGCCGUUCAACAGCGUUCACGCCGUACGGAAACCCACACAACAACAAUGGAGGACUUCAUUGGAGUGGUGUUCAUGGCUUUACUAGUGUGUCUCGCCAUCGCUUAACAGCAAAACCUUCUGUUAGAGGUUACCCAUCGGCGUCGCCGUUCCAAUGCCCGGCGAUCACGUUUGAGAAGAAAGAUGUUUUUAGAUGUCACCCCGCCCCCUGCCCGUGACGUGCUCGGCUCUCAACUCUGGCCACCUCUGGCCCAGCAACGAGUUGGUGCCCGAAACAGCCCCAGUUUUUGGAGCCCGGAGCCGCAGCUCCGGUGGUGGAAAGACAGAAAACCGGCGCCAAGUCGGGCACCGGCUCCGACUCCGAACGGGCUCCACCCCGGUCGAAAGCCCCUAAAAGUGGCCUCAGAUCGUGAUGCUGCUGGUUCUUACUCUUCAAAACAAGUUUAAACGUCAAAGAAAAUUGAUGGGCUCAUGACUGAAUUCUCAGCUUGUGCAGCGUUACAUUAAGAUGCCAACGGUGCCGCGUGAAAAUGUGUAAAUUGAUCUGAGAGGAGUGUAAGAUUUAUAGCAAAUUCCCAAAGUGGUUUCUAUUAGACAGGUGCACAACAUGUUUUCUAAAUGGGCAGAAUCAGCUCCGUUGGUUUAACCUCGUAAAUCAAACUCACGGACGGAGUGAAAAAUGAUCUUAGGAUUCCAUUAAACAUUCAUUAGAGUGUCUCUUUUAUAAUAAAUGAUGGAUCGGGCAAUUUCUGCACAUCCCAUCAGCUUUCUGAACAUGAAUUCAGGACACAGAGUUUAAGGCUGGAGCUCUGAUUGAGAAACUACAUCAUCUGAUAUCCAGUCAAACAGGUCCAUUAAUGAGGGAUCUGAAACUGUCAGAAAUGCUUACUUUGUUGAAGCAUGUUGAUUUUCUGCAUCACGCUGAAUCCACCGACUCUUCCCAGCAAACUAUGGAUGAGAACAGAAGAAAAGUUUACUAUGAACCUGCUGCAUCUUUAUUCAACCUUCUUCCAAAAAUGUCACAUUAACUGUCAGACACUACCUACCAAGAUCUGCGCUGCAUCCCAGUAUCAUCUGAAAUCACUGUAAAAAUCAAUAAUCUGACCCACUAAACACUAACUUCUCCUUCUGCUGAGCUGAGGAGGACAAGGACCUGAUUAGAUGUUUGUGGUGAAGCAGCUGCAGGACAAUCUCUAAAACAAAACGAGGUUUUUUGGAAAAGUUUAAACCUUCUGAGCCUAAAAUAGUCUCUGGGUGAAACAUUUCCCAAUUUAGGCUGUUUUUAAUCUGUGUUUAACCCUCCUGUUGUCCUCAUUUACAGGCACUAAAAAAUAUUGUUUCUUUCUCUGAAAAAAAUCUAAAAAUUCAGCAAAAAAAUUCCACAAAUUUAUGAGUUUGCAAAACCUUCAGGAAGAAAAUUCCAAUCAU
ensembl:lncRNA